rnacentral:lncRNA from 1 species
CCAUCAAAGAGUGUUUUUCCACAUCCUGUGCCGUGUUCAACUGGCUUUCCUUUCAGGACCUAGCAGUGACUGUUAUGCCAAAACAAUGAGCUUCAGAAUAUGGAAUUAAUGGAAAAAAAAAAGAGAGAAACAAGACAAGAAAUAAAUCCUUGUAAGAGCAUGGAGUGUUUUGCGUGGAUGCUCUGCUAUUGGCAGAAAUUCAAUUUUGGGAAAAUCAAAAGCCAGGAAAAAAAAAAGAAUGAAAAAAGUGGAGAAGUCACCCCUGGAUUGGGAGAGGAGUGAGGAGUGACUAGAGAGUUUCUAAAGAAAAUUUCAUGACACUUAGUAUUUGCUAAGGAAAAGUUCUGUUUGUAUACCCACACUGUCAGGAGAGAACGCCCACAGAAGCACGGGGACAGGCUGACUACAUGCCUGUGACCACCUAUGGCAUUUCAUAGACAAAGGAUGGAGUGGAAAUUUCAUGUAUUUCUACAAAUUUUCCAAAGAUUUAUAGUUUAAGUAGUAAAAUAAUAAUGCAAGGCAAUUGUAAUUAAUUAUUCUAUCACUUUAAAUAAUAUUUGAAAUGGUUUCAAUUUUUCUUAUUACCAAAAAGCAUCAAGAUGAAUUACGUUUACUUUUCGCACUUAAUUAUAUUGCACUAUGCCCAUUUCAUUAUGGUGACUAUAUAUUGACAGACUAAAAAUUGCCUUAAUAGAUUAAAGCAAAUUUUUGUCCAUUACACUAUCAGAAAUACAUUUUAAUUCCUUAACUUGUAAUAAACAUUUAAGAGAAGAAAAUACAAAUACCUGAAAGAAUUAAUGCUAUAGUUUUUCAACAUUCAAAUAACCUGGGGGAUAUUUAGUUAUUCUCAAGAAUAGUUUACUUUUAUGACACUGACUUUGUCAUUAGAAUUCAGUAUAAAAUUAUGAAUAAUUAGCACACAUUUUUAUGAGAGUAACAUAUCAAAGUUUAUUUCAAAAUUGCUUUAUUUCCUCUUUUGAGUCACUAUAUCUGAAGACAUAUUUGGUAAUAUUUUUAAAAUUAGAAGACAAACUGUAUCGCAUCAUUUAUUUUAAAAAUUCAAUUUUAUAAGUGAAAGCACUGAAGCAGAGCUUUUAGUGUUAGUGCAACUCUGUUGCUAUAAAAUGCAUAAUGACCUCAUGCUACUUGGUAGAGGAAGGGUGUGUUUCACAGUGUGCUUCCAGAUAGCACCAUUGAAGGAAUGAGAGCUGGAACUCAAGACAGGAGCUUGAAUUGGGAAUAGAGGAGUGCAUCUUACUCUUUCAAUAUCUGUGGAUCACUCCACUACCAUUUUGAGAGCCCAGGCCCACAAACCAAGAGAUAUCACAACUCACAAUACACUUGACCUUCCCAUAUCAAUAAGCAAUAACUAAGUGCCUCACAGACAUGCCCACAGACCAUCCACUGGAGGUUAUUCCUCAACUAGAUUUUCCUUCUUUCUAGAUGGGCCAAAGUGACAACCCAAGCUAACUAUUGCAUGACUGUACAAGUACAAGCAAUGUUCCUCCCUAAACUACUCCUUCCUGAGAGUCUGAUAUUUACUUGAUUAUUGUGACUAAGUCCUUCCAAAGUCUUACAACAAAAACAAUAAGAUUAAAUAUUUUGUAGGAAAAUUUACCAAUGAUAAAAAGUGGCCCUUAGCCUGCUACAAAUUAAUCAAGAUAGGCAGAAGAGUAAAUAUUUGGUAGGAACCCUAGUAAGGGGUUUCCCUGAAUAUAAUCCAUCAUUACAAAACAUGCCUACAUUUCAAAAAAAAUGAGGCUUCACAUAUAGUGUCUUCUCUACCUUAACACAACUGUGUCUGCUUGUGUCUAAGCUUCAGGGAUGAAAGCACAGAGCUUCUCUGAGUAGACAUGAUAAAUGGUAGAUUUUAUUAGCUGGCCAAUUUUAGGAAACUUAAAAAUUUAGGAAACUCCAUUGCUACAACAUGUUUUCAUAUUUCUAGUAAAGGGGCUAAGGUUUAGUGAGUUUUUUGUUCAGGACACCACCUAAAGGACACUAUUUAAACCAAACAAGUUUUAUAAUAAUCUAAAAGAAUGUUCAUAGUUUUCAGAACAAUAUUUUUGAAAUGGCUAAAAAUAUCAUUCUCCAUAUCCUCUAUUUGACCUACAAUUCUGUCCUCUAUGUUAUGCUUCAUAUAGCUAUACUUUUGCUUAGAUUUACACAAUAAGUAAUGUAACAAUCCACUGUUACUACAUCAACAGAGAAUUCCAAGUGAUUACCAUAAGGUGGCAAAACUAACGAGAGACAAAGUAAUCCAAGUAACAAAUGUUUUAAUGCUUGUGAUAUGACUUUUACUUAAGGAGUCAUGUGUUAGUUGCUCAUGACUAUAAACACAUCUGUGGCGAUUUGUAUUCCCCAAAGGCUGAUAGGGAGUGCUUUUAUUAGAAGGUGUGGCCUUGUUAGAGGAACUCUAUCACUGGGUGAAGGCUUUGGUGUUUCAAGUACUCAAGGCAGUUCCUUUGUCAUCCUCUCUUCCUAUUGCCUGCCAUCUGGGUAU